UCCUGCCUUUAAAAGCAGUUCACAAAUACUGUCAGGUCUUCCUGACCACUUCCGCUAUCAAGCGAGAAUAUGGUCCAGUUGCACAAAAAUGGCAAAAGGCAGAAGUGAUAUCUAAUGGAAACAUGGUCUUGCAAAAGUAACAGAACACACAUGAUGCUUUUGUUCCAGCCGAACUGCUUUGAAGAAUGCGAAAGUAAUCACAACGGGGCCGCUGCUUUCCUCUCAGCACUGCAAUGCAGAUGUGUCUCACAAAGUGGCAGGAAACUUUCACUGAAGAUGCUUGUGAAAGAGGAACAUGAGAGAGAGGAGGGAAGGGCAUGAAAAAGAUGGAGCCGAGGACAGAAGCCAUUGGAAUGUAUGCAAUAUUACCAAAAGUGAUGAAGAAUAAAGGUCUCUGCUUUUGGAGACCCUGAGCAUUAGAAUGUGAAAAAAUGAAAGCAUAUGGUAGAAGGGAAAGUGGAAAAAAAAAAACAGAUACGGAAACUCUUGAUUUAUGAGUUCUGCCGAUGAAAGUGAUGUCUUUAGCUUCAUCAACUAAACAGCUUUACAAAGCAAUCAUGCUGUCUAACAAAUGUUUUUGAAGUACCACCACGAUGUAAACGGGUGGCGUUUUUUUAGUUCAAAAUUAAAUUGAACUGGGCGGGGAGGAAGCCUGUUGAUCUGUGCUUUAGAGCUGUUAUUGCACACAUUUUGAUUAACGCCACUGCCUCUAAUUUAAAUUGGCAGCAGCACUUGAUAAACUCAUUUGUGUUUGGUGCUUCAGUUUUGUCUGGCCCCAGGCUGAAAUUUAAUGGACUUUAUAGAAAAAUUGUGAUCAAUUAUGUCAAGAAUUAAUUUGCCAUGUUGAAACAAAUGCAAAAAGUAAUGAAUGUCUCAGAGCAAAUAUUCACUAAUUUUGCACUUUUGAUUUAGUAACGUACUUCUGCAUGUCGUAUAUUCACAGACAUACCAGCAGAUAUGUCAAAACAAGAAUGUACUGGAUUUAAAUAGUAAGCCUUAUCUGGGACUUCAAAUAGAGACAACUGAUGUUGAUGACAAGACCAUGUGAAUGAUGGUCUAAGGCAGGUUGUUCUGACUCUGAGUGCAUUUCCUGACUUUUAAAAUAUGAACCUAUAAUAUUAAAUUCAAAGUAAUGUGAAAGAUUCCAAAUAAAGUGACUAAAUUAAUCCUAGAGCACAUUUAGUUAAACAUUUAUCAUGAUAUUUUUUCCAGCAAUGUUGUUGUCUUGGAGCCUGCCUGUGAUGUAUGAUCUUUUACAUCUGUUCUGUAUUUGGAUUUUAUUGUUAAAACUGUCCUGUGUAUGAAACACUAUUCCCAUUGUACACAAAGGUUCAUGGUAAUUUUGGCCUGGUUAUCUGCUCGUAUUGUUUCCUUCUCUAUGUGAACAAUGAUGAUAUGUUAAAACAUUAUGAUACGUUAUGUAGUGCAGAUAGAUAUAUAUCCCAAAUGUGAUUUUCUGUAACCCAAUCUAGCUGAACAUACUAUGUUUUGAUUAUUUGUCUAUUUAUUUACACUCUAGCUUAUUGAUCCAUUUGUAUCUGCCUCUUUUGGGUCCCAAACAAGCCUUUUAGCAGCAGUGCACUGGAUCAGCGGCUUCUGUACAACAAAAUGAAACAAAGUAGGUUGUGGCUUUUUGUUCCCCCUGUGUCUCAUAAACACCUUCCUGUCACUGAGUUUCCAGAUGGCCACGCUCCUCUGUAUCCCACAGUUCAUAGCUCUAAACUUCCUAGCACACACAUUUGCAUCGGGUCACUGCUCACUCCGACACGCUAGAGGAAGAGGAGCACUAAUCCUACCCAGCAUGCCUCCCUAGAAAUGCUCUCUAUGCAAAUGGUUGUUUUUUUUGUGGCAGCGGUUUGGUUGCAAGCAUGCAUAUCAGCGGGGUUGCUGUAAUAGACGUGGCUAUGGCUCAGUAUGUAGGUAUGGCUCUUUUGACAAGUGACCUCCUUAACAGAGGUGCAGAUUUCUUGGCUGGUUGCUGGUUGUUACAAAACACAGCAGUGAACUUUAAAAGAUCCGUUCACAGGUCCACACCAGAUUUAUCCUGUAUUUAAUUGCAUCGGAGAGCAAUCACUCUCUGCCCUACAAAUCCUGGGUAAAGCUGAGCUUUACAAUAGAGCCAUAAUUGCAGGAGUUUAAUUGCCUGCCAAUGCUCUGCUCCCACUGCCUGCUUGCAUUGAAGAGCCCAAUAAUUAGAAACAGGGAGAAAUUAGGUGGCAAUUUUGUCUUGGCAAUUAUCAUAAUGCAAAAGAAGUGCCAUUAGUAUUGUUAGCCCCACAGUACAUAAUCCUUUGACACUGUCAAGUCCCUCUCUUGGCUGCUGGGUACAACAACUCUUGAUUUCCCUGUAGCCUUUGGACUCCCUCAGUCACUACUUAAGUCAUCAGCUAUCCGGGCCAGCCAGCACACUCGCAGUCAAGCUAGCAGACUGAACACUUCCAUGCCCGGAGUGCUGGGAGGAUUAGAAGCUUCAGCAUUAGCAGUCUGUGUUUCCGUUAAAGGUAUAUAAAUUGGGUGUUAAUCCUCUUCCACCAUGUCAACCAUGAAAUUGUGUUUGAUAUAACAGAAAAAUUAAUGCAGACUGCAGAUAUUGUGUUCGUACUGCACCAGUAUUUCAUUUUGUUUCACUGGAUUGUCAUUGUUUUUUUGACUCUCAAGUUGGAUGUGUUUCUGUUUUUGUAAGAAUACCUGAUAGUUUUAGUUCAUGGGCACUGACAAGGAAACAUUUGCAGCCAGACCUUAUGUCCUGGUCUAACUCAGACAAAAUAAGAUUUUGAGGUUUGCUUAAGAAAUGUGUGGAAUGUGGUAUAUUUCA